GUGGAAGUUUGCAACAGAGUCUAAAGUUUUUCCUCUCUUCUCCUCCUGCAAGAGGUACCUAUGUAAAAAAUCAAGACAAAAAACAGUAGAGGUUAUGAUUAUAUGAUUCAUGUUAACCAUUAGAUAUACAAGAAUGAACAUACCUAGCACAAAACCACAUAAGAAUAGGUUCUUAAACUGGAAAUAUACAAGGUGAAGUAGCCCAAUAGCAGUUCUUUUGUGAUAGAAGGUUUAAUAGAACUUCCAUUGCGUUGCUACCGGAAGAAGAAUCACUGCAUAAACAAGAAUCGUUGAGUUAAUGCCUUGAACAAGAUUUGAUAAUAGCAUAAAUGAAGUGCAUUGAUUAAAAAAGCUUCUUAUUCUGACGGACUCAUAAGGGUUUGUUCCUCUUCUGGUAGUAAUACAUUCUCGCUGAAUGAAGUUGAAUUGCUCUGUGUACCACCGCCCUCAUCUUCACCAAAUCUUGAUGUGAGAUGAGAAGUUUGAGAGGAACCAUUGCAUGAAUUCAGGGAUGGGGCUAAGUGUUGCAAAUGUCUGCAUCGACGACCUAUUCCUAAUAUCUUCUUUUGAGAUCCAAAAGGUCGCUGAUAGGAUGUUACCGCCUUAUGAAUAAUAACGCAUUGUUAGAUUAAAAAAUGUUGUUUAAAAUAUUAGUGUAUGGAACUGCAUACCUCAUAAGCGACCUUAGUGUAUGGAACUGCUUCUCAAGCAAUGAAGCAGAAUCAUCCCAAGUAAUGUGAUAAAGCUCUAAAGUAGCAGGACUAAGCCACAUCCCUAGCUUCUCCAUAGUAUUAAUAAAAGUUUCACCACAUUUCCAAAUUUAUUGAUAGUAGCUAUUUUUUUGUUUGUAAAUUUCCCCUAUUAUUUUUAGUAGCAAUAUUUGGUGAUAAAAUAUAGUACUAAUUACACCUUGUAUAUUUCCUUGAGUAAUAAAAAAAAAAAAGCUAAAGAAAAACGAUUGUUCCAGAUUUUAUGGUUGAUUAUAGCCAUCAUCUAGUUGGACUAUAAAAAGCGAUGAAGAGUAACUUCAUUUCAUCAAUCAUUAAAAAAUCAUUUACGUGAAGAAUGAAGACCAUUUCCCUUAAAUUAUUGUUAUUGGCUUGUCUUGUUGUCGUCAUUUUCCGUCAGAAUCUUGCAGUGGGGAAUUUUUGUAAGAACAACAAUGACUGCAAAAAGUUAUGUGGAGGCUAUUGCAACAAUAUUCGUGAAAGUUGUGUGUGUCAUAAUUUAAACAAUAUAAAUGCAAUAAACCUUGGUUCUUCUAACGAUCCUUGUAUCCCAGAACAUCCCGGUUGUCGUGGAGGUCCUCCACCAAAACAGUUGAAAGUGUAAUGAUAAAACUAUUGUAUUUUGAUCCCCAAAAAAACUAUUGUAUAUGUCUGACAUAGUAUAUGUCUGACAUAAGUUAUUUGCUGAAUAAAACAUAAUUUCAUUUA